UGGGGAAUAUUGGACAAUGGGGGCAACCCUGAUCCAGCAAUGCCGCGUGUGUGAAGAAGGUUUUCGGAUUGUAAAGCACUUUCGGCGGGGACGAUGAUGACGGUACCCGCAGAAGAAGCCCCGGCUAACUUCGUGCCAGCAGCCGCGGUAAUACGAAGGGGGCUAGCGUUGCUCGGAAUGACUGGGCGUAAAGGGCGUGUAGGCGGUUUGUACAGUCAGAUGUGAAAUCCCCGGGCUUAACCUGGGAGCUGCAUUUGAGACGUGCAGACUAGAGUGUGAGAGAGGGUUGUGGAAUUCCCAGUGUAGAGGUGAAAUUCGUAGAUAUUGGGAAGAACACCGGUGGCGAAGGCGGCAACCUGGCUCAUUACUGACGCUGAGGCGCGAAAGCGUGGGGAGCAAACAGGAU
rnacentral:rRNA from 1 species